CUAUGCGCCUUGCCAGCCCGCUCAGGUGUGCCAGCAGCCGCGGUAAUACGUAGGUGGCAAGCGUUAUCCGGAUUUAUUGGGUGUAAAGGGCGUGUAGGCGGGAAAUGCAAGUCAGAUGUGAAAACUAUGGGCUCAACCCAUAGCCUGCAUUUGAAACUGUAUUUCUUGAGUGCUGGAGAGGCAAUCGGAAUUCCGUGUGUAGCGGUGAAAUGCGUAGAUAUACGGAGGAACACCAGUGGCGAAGGCGGAUUGCUGGACAGUAACUGACGUUGAGGCUCGAAAGCGUGGGGAGCAAACAGG
rnacentral:rRNA from 1 species